rnacentral:rRNA from 1 species
GACGAACGCUGGCGGCGUGCCUAAUACAUGCAAGUCGAACGCUGAAGAGAGCAAUUUGCUCUUCUUUGGUGUGUUGGGGACGAACGCGUAGGGAGUCUGUCCCAUGCUUUGUAGUAGGGGAUAAAUAUUGGGACCGAUAGCUAAUACCGCAUCACAGUGGGUGAUUGAGUUUUUUUGUUUGAAAGGGGCAUUUGCAGCACUACAUGCUGGACUUGCGUUGUAUCAGAUAGUAGGUGAGGUAAUGUCUAACCUAGGCAACGAUACGUAGCUGACCUGAGAGGAUGAUCGGCCACACUGGGACUGAGACACGGUCCAGACUCCUACGGGAGGCAGCAGUAGGGAAUCUUGCGCAAUGGGCGCAAGUCUGACGGAGCAACGCCGCGUGAGUGAAGAAGGCUUUCGGAUCGUAAAGCUCUGUCGUGAGGCAAGAAAGUGUUUGAGGGUGGAAAGUUCACGCAGUGACGGUACCAUAACAGAAAGGAACGGCUAACUACGUG